rnacentral:rRNA from 1 species
UGAGGGAAAGGCGAAAAGAACCCCGGCGAGGGGAGUGAAAAAGAACCUGAAACCGUGUACGUACAAGCAGUGGGAGCCCCACCACUAAGCCAGUGGUGAACUCCACAUACGCAUCCUUUGCUGAGGAUACGGUUAACGGAGCGAAAGCGACGUUCAACCGAAAAAGAAGCAGAGGGGGCUUAGUGGUGGGGUGACUGCGUACCUUUUGUAUAAUGGGUCAGCGACUUAUAUUCUGUAGCAAGGUUAACCGAAUAGGGGAGCCGGAGGGAAACCGAGUCUUAAUUGGGCGUUAAGUUGCAGGGUAUAGACCCGAAACCCGGUGAUCUAG